UAGGGAAUCUUCCGCAAUGGGCGAAAGCCUGACGGAGCAACGCCGCGUGAGUGAUGAAGGUCUUCGGAUCGUAAAACUCUGUUAUUAGGGAAGAACAAAUGUGUAAGUAACUAUGCACGUCUUGACGGUACCUAAUCAGAAAGCCACGGCUAACUACGUGCCAGCAGCCGCGGUAAUACGUAGGUGGCAAGCGUUAUCCGGAAUUAUUGGGCGUAAAGCGCGCGUAGGCGGUUUUUUAAGUCUGAUGUGAAAGCCCACGGCUCAACCGUGGAGGGUCAUUGGAAACUGGAAAACUUGAGUGCAGAACAGGAAAGUGGAAUUCCAUGUGUAGCGGUGAAAUGCGCAGAGAUAUGGAGGAACACCAGUGGCGAAGGCGACUUUCUGGUCUGUAACUGACGCUGAUGUGCGAAAGCGUGGGGAUCAAACAGG
rnacentral:rRNA from 1 species